UGUUUGGCAAGUUCUAUGGUAUCCUUUUGGGUCAGGCAUUGGCAAUGGCCACUGGGAGUGGAUUGAUAUUGGAAUCAAUAUCUCAUUGAGAAGAGUCAAAUGCGCACACUGAACUCAUCUAAAGCUCAAAUGAGAACUCAAUUCAGCAACAAUGGCAGACUGCAAUAACCUCUAUGGAAGGACAAGGAAAUAAUCAAACAAGAAGU
rnacentral:misc_RNA from 1 species